UACAGAGGUCUCAAGCGUUGUUCGGAUUCAUUGGGCGUAAAGGGUGCGUAGGCGGCGCGGUAAGUCGGGUGUGAAAUCUUGGAGCUUAACUCCGAAACUGCAUUCGAUACUGCCGUGCUUGAGGACUGGAGAGGAGACUGGAAUUUACGGUGUAGCGGUGAAAUGCGUAGAUAUCGUAAGGAAGACCAGUGGCGGAGGCGGGUCUCUGGACAGUUCCUGACGCUGAGGCACGAAGGCCAGGGGAGCAAACGGG
rnacentral:rRNA from 1 species